rnacentral:rRNA from 1 species
UACGUAGGGGGCUAGCGUUGUCCGGAUUUAUUGGGCGUAAAGAGCGUGUAGGCGGCCAGGUAGGUCUGGUGUGAAAACUCGAGGCUUAACCUCGAGAUGUCAUCGGAAACCAUCUGGCUAGAGUCCGGAAGAGGAGAGUGGAAUUCCUGGUGUAGCGGUGAAAUGCGCAGAUAUCAGGAGGAACACCAAUAGCGAAGGCAGCUCGCUGGGACGGUACUGACGCUAAGGCGCGAAAGCGUGGGGAGCGAACAGG